rnacentral:tRNA from 1 species
GUUUUAAUAAUUUAAUAUCAAAAAUAUUGGUCUUGUAAACCAAAAAUGAAUAAUAUUCUUAAAACU